rnacentral:rRNA from 1 species
GUCGAGCGGACAGAAGGGAGCUUGCUCCCGGAUGUUAGCGGCGGACGGGUGAGUAACACGUGGGUAACCUGCCUGUAAGACUGGGAUAACUCCGGGAAACCGGAGCUAAUACCGGAUAGUUCCUUGAACCGCAUGGUUCAAGGAUGAAAGACGGUUUCGGCUGUCACUUACAGAUGGACCCGCGGCGCAUUAGCUAGUUGGUGGGGUAAUGGCUCACCAAGGCGACGAUGCGUAGCCGACCUGAGAGGGUGAUCGGCCACACUGGGACUGAGACACGGCCCAGACUCCUACGGGAGGCAGCAGUAGGGAAUCUUCCGCAAUGGACGAAAGUCUGACGGAGCAACGCCGCGUGAGUGAUGAAGGUUUUCGGAUCGUAAAGCUCUGUUGUUAGGGAARAACAAGUGCGAGAGUAACUGCUCGCACCUUGACGGUACCUAACCAGAAAGCCACGGSUAACUACRUGCCAGCAGCCGCGGUARUACGUAGGUGGCAAGCGUUGUCCGGAAUUAUUGGGCGUAAAGGGCUCGCAGGCGGUUUCUUAAGUCUGAUGUGAAAGCCCCCGGCUCAACCGGGGAGGGUCAUUGGAAACUGGGAAACUUGAGUGCAGAAGAGGAGAGUGGAAUUCCACGUGUAGCGGUGAAAUGCGUAGAGAUGUGGAGGAACACCAGUGGCGAAGGCGACUCUCUGGUCUGUAACUGACGCUSAGGAGCGAAAGCGUGGGGAGCGAACAGGAUUAGAUACCCUGGUASUCCACGCCGUAMACGAUGAGUGCUMAGUGUUAGGGGGUUUCCGCCCCUUAGUGCUGCAGCUAACGCAUUAAGCACUCCGCCUGGGGGAGURCGGUCGCAAGACUGAMACUCAAAKGAAUUGAC